GAAAUGCGAUAAGUAAUGUGAAUUGCAGUAUUCAGUGAAUCAUCGAAUCUUUGAACGCACAUUGCGCCCGCCAGUAUUCUGGCGGGCAUGCCUGUUCGAGCGUCAUUUCAACCAUCAAGCCCCCGGCUUGUGUUGGGGACCUGCGGCUGCCCGCAGGCCCUGAAAAACAGUGGCGGGCUCGCUGUCACACCGAGCGUAGUAGCAUACAUUCUCGCUCAGGGCGUGCUGCGGGUUCCGGCCGUUAAACGACCUUCAUAACCCAAGGUUGACCUCGGAUCAGGUAGGAAGACCCGCUGAACUUAAGC
rnacentral:misc_RNA from 1 species